CCCGCCCCACCGCCCCUGCGUGGAGCCCGGGGAGACCCCACGGCCCGGCCUUCCUGGGCCUGGGACCCGAGGGGAGCCGAGCGGGAAUUGCUUUCCUGGUUCGAUCCGCUGCCGCUGUGAGGGCCGAGCGGAAACCCGUAGACCUUUUAUGUGAAGAGAUUGCGGCCUCCUGGUCACCAGUCACCGAGAGAGGGACCCCUGGACCGCCUACGUGGUGGUGUCUGCCGCAGGCCAUAGGGAUCCAGCCCACUUAGGCAGUCCCUUGGGGACGCGGCCUUCCCUCCGGAGCGGAAAGGCGCUUCCCGCCCGCCCUGCGGUAAUCCCGGAAGCCCUCAGCCGUUAAGCUAAAAUUUCUGUUGCUUUGGCUACUGAUGGAAACCUGUUGUGUUCAUGAAAACUUGAAGGUUGUGUGGAGCAGAAGGAAGAGGGGGUCUGAUAUGCAUGUUCUCCGUGGCACUCCUUAUCUAGGAUUUCUCUAGGGCAAAUGCUCAUUUUACCUCCCACAUCCCCAGUGGUAACUCAGCCUUUAAUACUUCAUGGCAAGAUAGGAUUGAUGUUGGAAUCCAGCUAAAUUGGAUACAAAUGGUACAAUGCAGCUUGGUUAUGAAUGAAUAAAGGACUGCAACAGGAA
rnacentral:lncRNA from 1 species